rnacentral:lncRNA from 1 species
AAGAGAGAGCAGACGGUUCUCGGCAUCAUGAUGCAAGAAUGACAUAUGAGAUUGCUUAUUCCAUUGCUUUACAGUCAUGAUAUGAUAGGAAUGAUUCUAUUUACUAGAAAGAGACAACACCUAUUUUUAGCAUCGAAGAGGGAAUUUUGUGUAGACUGCUUUUUGAAAGUGAAAUAGAGACUUUCACUAAAGAGUGAGAUUGAGGAGUGAAAGAACCCGGUAUUCACAUAAGAAAGUGGCAGUUGUCCUUUCCUAUAUAAGAGAAAGGCUGCUCUUACCUGGGGACGUCUGCCUAAGAACCGGCUUUUGAGAGGUCUUUCUUUGUCUCUUUUCUGGACGGGUUACCCAUAGGCAUCUUAUGAGUUAUCCCUAGUCUAGUUUGUUUUGCUCAGAUUAAAGAGUUCUUUUUCUUAUUGCAGGUGUAAUCGGAACCACCGAUUAAACAAGCAUUCCUAAGUUCAUUAGGAGUUAACUCCUUCGCCCGAACCUUUAAAAGUGGGAUGCUGUAUAAGAGAAAUACCAUGAAACUGAGCAAUAAGUCCAUCCAAUCGUGUUGACACCAACAACCUUCUUAGGAGCUUCUCCCCACCAAAGAAACAAGAGUUGAGUUCGGGAGUUCGAGUCUUUCAUUUUCUUAGAAGUUCCAGAUGAAGGAAGUAUGGUAAUUUUCAAUUAAUCUUCCCUUCAAUCAAGACGAUCGGUUGGAGAGGAAUAAGCGGUUUGCAGGCUUCCCGCUCCCAUAGAUCUUCCUUUCUCUUCUUAACGACCUAAUGCAAUUGACCGUACUAAUGGGAAUGACGGGCACUGGCAGCUCCAAAGCGAGCGCCAAUGGAAAUGAAGAAUUUGAAUAGCUUUUCGUUCCCCUUUUGGGGUUAAACUCAUAAGACAAAAGAACUCCAUAUGAACUCAGAGGGAGAAAUUCAUUCUUUUUAAGACGCAAAGAUGGGUGUCGCCAAUCUCUUAUUGGAUUUCACCAACCUUAAAGAAUUGAGUUUGACUUAUGUAAGUACAUAUAAAGCACUAAAGAAGCUCUUUCUCCUCCUCUUGUUGUUGUUUUGACUUUGUCUUAUUAGACAAGUGGUAACCUAAGCAAGAGACAUUGUACUUUAAUUCCUCUACUGGCUUUCAACCCUUGGACGGCUAUCCUUGGCAUGCGUGCUACUGGCCUACCUACUGAACUCCUACUAUCCUGCUACCAAGCAUUCUCUCUUUACUUGCCUAAGGGUGCACUAAGAAAGAUUGCUACAAUGACAAAAGGAAAGAGAAUACACAAUGAAGGCAGAAGCAAGAAUCGAAUUCACACUAACCCGUCAAUUUGGGUUCCAAUUCGAGAUUUUCCUUGGGAGGUAUCGUGAAAGAAUUGGAAAAUACUACCAUCUUUUUGGGCCGCCUAUCGAUCGGACGCGAAUCCACAGGAUUACGGGAUGACAGUUAUUGGUUAGGGUCAAGUAAAUAUGAUUACAUACCUUCUGUUUAACCUUUCUUGGUCUGGUGUGACUAUUUCUCAUUCUCGUCUUCUGAAAAAGCCAGAAUCAAUCAUCCGCGAUAAGUAUAAAAAAAGUCUUUUUUAGUGAUGCUUGAAAGACAGCUUCGAGAAAGGGCUUUUUUUCAGUAAAGUUCAGCCUUUCCGCUAUCAAAACAAUUCACUCCAGAUAGGCGCUGAAUACGCUUUCGCGAUAGGUAGUGGUGGAGCUUGCGUAAUGUAGUUGUAAUUAAGGCUGCAAUUCAAUCUUUCUUUUUCUUCCUGCAAAGCAAAAAAUUCUCAGAUUCUUACUCUUUCUCCUUUGGAUCGGAUUUAGCCCCAGACCUUGGUACGUUGAGGUUAAGAUUUUCCUGGGUUUCCUCUUGAAUUGAGGCGGCGCAGCUCCCACUUUACAUCAUACUCACUGACACUACACUCACCGGUAGGGGAGACUCCUACCAUUCGCCGAUCUACUAUCGAACUGAGAUACAGAAACACUUCACUAAAGAUUUACCUGGGACUGAAAUACGUACAUGGGUACGGGUUCGCUAACCACUGUUUGCAUGCGUAAUAAACAAGAUUUUCGAAAUCAAUUACAGUUGGCCUUAUUCCCUGCCUUGACAUUGACCGCUACACCCAACAAAGCAAGGCAAUGGGGAACGGUAAAUAAGUAGGAUAGAUAGUUACCUGACUCUGGCCUUGAAACAAUGACCCGGCAGAAGUAUUCAAAGGUGGUAGACGUCCUACAUGCCUAAUGUCAAGUUAAAGUGUCUUGUUUGAUAGAACCAGGUAGUAGUUGGUCGAAAAGCAAGAGAAAGAGACUCCAACGGACUCGGGCAAUACCAUUAAGACAGAAAGGGAGAACUGACCGGGGCUGGAAGAUUGCCCCACCACUUCAGUUCUCAUAGAAGGAGGAGCUGUGAGCUAAUAAGAAGAAGGCUCGCAAAUCUUUAUCCCCUGCUCUAAAAUGCCUUCCCCCAAGAAUGAGAUUGGAGAGGGAAGGCCCCGCUCCCCGAAUAGAUGGAUUUCAUGAUGGCCCAGGUGGGAAAUUUCCAAUUUAGAUGGAUCUUCUUCUUUAUGGAUAGAGGUUAGCUUUGCUAGCUGUAACCGAUGCCACAAAGGUUUAAAACGGAGAUUCAUUGAUGCCUUUACGUGAGUCAGUCUGGCGAUUUCUUUUCUUCCUUUAAACUAGCCUAUCAUAUGAGGUGGAUCAAAUGGUUCCUUUCUAACUUCCUAUGUUAAGAGGUUCCUUUAAAGCAGAAACUUGGUGUUGACCCAUUCACCUCCUGAACUUACCGUCUAGCCGGAGUAAACUACCUAUGCUCCUACUGCACGUAGGCUGCUAAACAUGCGCAACAAGAGCUGAUAUUCAAGUUAAUUAUAAAAUGUGGUUAGAUAUCGAAUCGAUAUUAGCUUUUAUUAGAAUUAUAUAAGAGAGAGAUGUAGGCUUAGUCAAAAGUGUAAAGCCAAACUCUAUCUCUAAAAGCGUACUCGAGCUUCGAUUGUUGUGUUUAGUCGCUCUUGUGAGAGAUAGGGCUAGUACGGACCCAAUGGUGCUUUCAGGAAAGUACAGGCAAUGGCGUCGGUCAACCAUUUCCUGAACGACGAGCUUCUAGACGAACGACUGACUAUCGGGCAUAGGCAAGAUGGUCACCUAAUGGCUCUUGUAAGCUCGCAGUGGAGUGAGGCAGUAAGAGUAACAUAAAGUACGGUCUUAAGCCAGUCAGUUCCCCAAGCCAACAAUGGAAGGGUGGAGUGAGCCUAGCACCUGACCCUUCUAUUCCUUCGAUCUAAUCCCCCGUGACUUGCCAUUGAAAGGGAAUGCCAAUGAGGGAGUGACUCAGGGCUCAGUUAGCGCUUAGGGUUCUAGGCUAAAUUAAGAUGGUCUAUAAGUUCAUACUUCAAAGGGAGAAAAUACACCUCCAAUCAAGGUACAACCUUUAGGGAUAACAUGAAGCCAAAAGUAGGAUAGUCUAAGGAAAUGUCUUGAAGUCAUUUGAGGCCUAAUAUAAUAGAUGCUCUUCCUAUAGUUGUUUUUCUAAUCUGUCUAUUCCCUCUGGCAAGGGUCCAUAUCUGGAAUCUUACAUAUUGCCUUGCUUCUUUCCUUUAAUUCAAUAGUCCGAUCCCCGACCAGCCAGUCUUCAAUUCCAAUUUAUGAUUACAUACCUCAUGAACCUAUAUAUUGUAGACAAGACAUCCCUAUGGUAGGGAACGAAGAUUAGUUCAAGGUAAUCCACUGGCUUGCCCGAUUCCCUUUGUUUCUUCGGCUUUUGCCCCAUGCCGCAUAAGUCUGGUCUAUCCUCUGUAUGUCGAUCUCACGCUUGUCUAUGGUGAAAGGGACCCUUUUUCUCCUUGGAAUGGUAAGCUCUAUAUUCACAAUGAAGGACACCUACAAUGGUAAAAAGAUCGUCGUUUCCUUUCCUUUAAGCGUCUCAUCCCGAAUCUUGGUGUGGUAAAGUAAUCGGUAGACUCAUCAGGUCACUCCCCUGAAGAUUGCAGGUUCGAAUCCUAUCCGUACUUCAUGAAAACUACAUUUUUAAUAUGGCUGUCAUCUGUCAAGAUAUGGACUCCCCACUCUGAACACCAUCGGACUAUUACUGGUACCUGUUCACCGAUAAUGAAAAUAAGGAUGGGCAGGAAUAUGCGGAAUACACCCCGACUAGACCUCUUAGAGCAUUGGGGAUCACCAAAAUACAUUCCAGCAACACCACCAUCUGAACUACGAAGCUCCCCGGAGUACAUUCCAACUGUUUGGCACAGGAAUCAGGACGUAUUCCAGAUAGUCCCAAUUGCAGCAAAUGUAAUGCGUAAAAGAGUAAGGGGGACCCAUAGCCUUACCAAAACAUGUCGGUUGACGACAUAAUGCCAUGCACAUGGUGGAAGAAAGGCUAUGUCUCAAAGCUAAACCGUUGCAGCAGGGGAUUUUUCUUAGUAAGAGGUGCUCUUUCAUUCAGUAGCUGCAAAAAAAUCUCUUUUUUUAUUAAAUAAAGUGAAAAAAAAAAGAUUACAUCUCAAUGACCUCAGAAGAAGUAGCUUCAACUGCCUUUCCAAUGGGUUACCCCCGGCUACUAGCAUCUCCUGCUUGAGGAAUAAAGACUAUACCAACCCGAUCGUCAGCAUCAGCAUCAAAGCCGAGAUUUGGGAUUGAAAGCACCCACUAUUCAAGUUUCAUCCAAGGGAAAUUCAAAUAACAAUAGAAUAGGCCUUCCACCUCGAAUCUAUCUCUUCGACCUGUUGUAGUUUGAAUCUUCAAUGGCUGUUCAUUCCACAAACGAGCUAAGUGAGCAAAUACGGUUCUUCAGGCGAGCUUAAUGCUACCACCGAAUAAUUCCUUCUUUCUUUGCCCUUCGGGAACAUCCUCACAUUCUAUAGUUAAGCUGCCUAACUGCCACAGCUUUUAGGUUCCAUGCAGUUCUGCUAGCUAGCCCUUAAAAAAUAGAUAUACUUUUAGAACUCCACGUGCUUUACCCCGGAAACUUUUGGACUUUAAUCGGCUUUGAGGAUAUACCUUUCAGUAGUGGCUCUAUCUACAUUCAGCUAUUUAGAAAGAAAUAAAAAGAUAGCCUUCGUGCUCCAACGGUGAAAGAGAAGGAUAAGAUAGAUCCGGAUAGCGACAGAUAUAGAAUUUUAUUCAAGUUAGCCCCCCUUGUUGCUCUGUUCUCUCUCUAUACCACGAUGAAUAAAAGAGAGUCCUACGCCUAGGAAACAACUAGUGCAUUAUCCCCCUCUAUCUUAGACUAUAUGCCUUCGCUUUGUACCUCUACUAACUCAAUUGGGAGUAAACCUGGAAGUACACCUUUGGUUAACUAAGGCUAAGAUCCCACUUGCCACUAAGCUUUAGGGAAGUCAACUUUAGAUAAUCCCUGGGCUAAUGUCCUUGAAUCGAAGAGCGAUACUCUUUUAAUUAUUUCUUACUUGGAAGUAACAAACAUGAGACAAUGAAAAAGACUCUUGCAUUAAGAUUUCCACGGUUUAGCCAAGGCUUAGCUCAGGACCUCUUCUUCGUUUUGCUUUUCUGUCCAAGGCUCUUUCGGAGCAGAAUGAAUUCCACUUUUCCAAGGCCUCUUUCCUACGAAGCCUUGGUAAGUAGUCUCCUACCAAAAAACUCGCAAUCAAGCCUUCACACCCCUAUAAAACCCCAUUUUCCCAAACCUAUACCUUUAAAAAAUGGGGCAUCUUCUUAUCUUUUUCGUCUUCUAGUUCAAACCUCUUCUGAUGGGUAGGUUCCUUUCCUUUAUCUAUUAGUAAAUAGUAAAUGGAUGAAAUUCACUCGUCAGAAUCCAAAUACGGAACUACGUAAAAUAAGUCCAUGGUCGCUGCAUCUGAAAUCAUUCGUUCACCCGAAAGUCCUCUCUCUACGCUAAAACGCUAAAUCAUUUGGGCUCUUUCACACAGGAAUUUUAGUAAAAAGUUCCUUAUCGGUUUCGCAUGCCAAUUGGCAACUGCUCUAUUUCGUAUCAUCCCACCCAGACCUAUAGCUAUUUUACCAACGAUCAUUUCAUUUCUGAGCAGAUGGGAUCCUGACCAUACAUAAAAAUAGGAUGACCUAUAAGGCAAGUCUUUUCCAAGCCAUUUUGGGGCAAGCGGAUCAUUUAUGAUGAAGAGGAUGAGCUUCUCAUUCUUGAAAAUCCAUACUUUUCCAAACCUAGAAGACAGACGGAAUCCUAGGAUUCUUCCUUGAGACAAAUACUUUUAUGCAUACCUCUUCUGGUUGAUCCACACCAUACUCUAUUCUCGUAAGAUGAUAUACACUAGCUAACAGCCCGCCGGGUGCUACAUCAUAGGCACAUUGGGAACAGAGCUCAACAUUCCCUACUUGUCCGUAAUCGCAGCAGCUAACCGACAACAUAUCCUUAAAAAUUAGCUUAAUCUUACUGGUCUAUAGAAGAUAGGGGAGUAUCCCACUCAUUAACAGAUCCAGAUGAGGGGGAGGGAAGUGAAGAAGAAAGAGGAUAAUUCAAAGAAUGCCUAUUUAUCUAACGUUAGAGAGGGCUCAUGGCUUUUCCUAAUGAUACCUGUCUAUCUUUCGGUGUACUACGAUUGAGCUCUGAGACAGCUUCAUCUUAUAGAGAGAGAAUAGUUUAUAGUGAUGGUUCGUGGAUUGAGGUUUAUUCAGGUCAGUAGUUCCAUCGACAGAGGACUGAAGUCCAGUGGUGAGAAUACGAGAAGGAGGGUGUGAAGAAAGAACUUCCGAUAAUGAAAGGAAAAGCCUUUUAGCAGCUGAUAAAACUAUAGCACGAAAAGCUACCUCCUCUUCCUUGAGGAGCACAAUAGAGCGAACAUUUUCCAUGUGAGAGAAAGAGUUCACACUUUUGGUUUUUUUCCUUUAGGCUGCUUUUGCCUUGUGAAAUAUCAGGACCAGAAAAAAAACCCGUGCUCAAAAUAUUAGUAGGAAUAUAAAGUUAACAGCCAACCGCUC